rnacentral:rRNA from 1 species
GUGGGGAAUCUUCCACAAUGGACGAAAGUCUGAUGGAGCAACGCCGCGUGAGUGAAGAAGGUUUUCGAAUCGUAAAGCUCUGUUGUCGGGGAUGAAUGUUGAGACCGAGAAUAUUGGUUUCAAAUGACGGUACCUGACGAGGAAGCCACGGCUAACUACGUGCCAGCAGCCGCGGUAAUACGUAGGUGGCGAGCGUUGUCCGGAAUUAUUGGGCGUAAAGGGAGCGCAGGUGGGAAAGUAAGUCUGUCUUAAAAGUGCGGGGCUCAACCCCGUGAUGGGAUAGAAACUAUUUUUCGUGAGUGCAGGAGAGGAAAGCGGAAUUCCUAGUGUAGCGGUGAAAUGCGUAGAUAUUAGGAGGAACACCAGUGGCGAAAGCGGCUUUCUGGACGACAACUGACGCUGAGGCGCGAAAGCCAGGGGAGCAAACGGGAUUAGAUACCCGUGUAGUCC